GUUUGAUCCUGGCUCAGGACGAACGCUGGCGGCGUGCCUAAUACAUGCAAGUCGAACGCUUCUUUUUCCACCGGAGCUUGCUCCACCGGAAAAAGAGGAGUGGCGAACGGGUGAGUAACACGUGGGUAACCUGCCCAUCAGAAGGGGAUAACACUUGGAAACAGGUGCUAAUACCGUAUAACAAUCGAAACCGCAUGGUUUUGAUUUGAAAGGCGCUUUCGGGUGUCGCUGAUGGAUGGACCCGCGGUGCAUUAGCUAGUUGGUGAGGUAACGGCUCACCAAGGCGACGAUGCAUAGCCGACCUGAGAGGGUGAUCGGCCACAUUGGGACUGAGACACGGCCCAAACUCCUACGGGAGGCAGCAGUAGGGAAUCUUCGGCAAUGGACGAAAGUCUGACCGAGCAACGCCGCGUGAGUGAAGAAGGUUUUCGGAUCGUAAAACUCUGUUGUUAGAGAAGAACAAGGAUGAGAGUAACUGUUCAUCCCUUGACGGUAUCUAACCAGAAAGCCACGGCUAACUACGUGCCAGCAGCCGCGGUAAUACGUAGGUGGCAAGCGUUGUCCGGAUUUAUUGGGCGUAAAGCGAGCGCAGGCGGUUUCUUAAGUCUGAUGUGAAAGCCCCCGGCUCAACCGGGGAGGGUCAUUGGAAACUGGGAGACUUGAGUGCAGAAGAGGAGAGUGGAAUUCCAUGUGUAGCGGUGAAAUGCGUAGAUAUAUGGAGGAACACCAGUGGCGAAGGCGGCUCUCUGGUCUGUAACUGACGCUGAGGCUCGAAAGCGUGGGGAGCAAACAGGAUUAGAUACCCUGGUAGUCCACGCCGUAAACGAUGAGUGCUAAGUGUUGGAGGGUUUCCGCCCUUCAGUGCUGCAGCUAACGCAUUAAGCACUCCGCCUGGGGAGUACGACCGCAAGGUUGAAACUCAAAGGAAUUGACGGGGGCCCGCACAAGCGGUGGAGCAUGUGGUUUAAUUCGAAGCAACGCGAAGAACCUUACCAGGUCUUGACAUCCUUUGACCACUCUAGAGAUAGAGCUUCCCCUUCGGGGGCAAAGUGACAGGUGGUGCAUGGUUGUCGUCAGCUCGUGUCGUGAGAUGUUGGGUUAAGUCCCGCAACGAGCGCAACCCUUAUUGUUAGUUGCCAUCAUUUAGUUGGGCACUCUAGCAAGACUGCCGGUGACAAACCGGAGGAAGGUGGGGAUGACGUCAAAUCAUCAUGCCCCUUAUGACCUGGGCUACACACGUGCUACAAUGGGAAGUACAACGAGUCGCAAAGUCGCGAGGCUAAGCUAAUCUCUUAAAGCUUCUCUCAGUUCGGAUUGUAGGCUGCAACUCGCCUACAUGAAGCCGGAAUCGCUAGUAAUCGCGGAUCAGCACGCCGCGGUGAAUACGUUCCCGGGCCUUGUACACACCGCCCGUCACACCACGAGAGUUUGUAACACCCGAAGUCGGUGAGGUAACCUUUUGGAGCCAGCCGCCUAAGGUGGGAUAGAUGAUUGGGGUGAAGUCGUAACAAGGUAGCCGUAUCGGAAGGUGCGGCUGGAUCACCUCCUUUCUAAGGAA
rnacentral:rRNA from 1 species